AUUGAACGCUGGCGGCAUGCCUUACACAUGCAAGUCGAACGGCAGCGCGGGAGCAAUCCUGGCUGCGAGUGGCGAACGGGUGAGUAAUACAUCGGAACGUGCCCAAUCGUGGGGGAUAACGCAGCGAAAGCUGUGCUAAUACCGCAUACGAUCUACGGAUGAAAGCAGGGGAUCGCAAGACCUUGCGCGAAUGGAGCGGCCGAUGGCAGAUUAGGUAGUUGGUGAGGUAAAGGCUCACCAAGCCUUCGAUCUGUAGCUGGUCUGAGAGGACGACCAGCCACACUGGGACUGAGACACGGCCCAGACUCCUACGGGAGGCAGCAGUGGGGAAUUUUGGACAAUGGGCGAAAGCCUGAUCCAGCCAUGCCGCGUGCAGGAUGAAGGCCUUCGGGUUGUAAACUGCUUUUGUACGGAACGAAACGGUCUUUUCUAAUAAAGAAGGCUAAUGACGGUACCGUAAGAAUAAGCACCGGCUAACUACGUG
rnacentral:rRNA from 1 species